UACGUAGGGCGCAAGCGUUAUCCGGAAUUAUUGGGCGUAAAGAGCUCGUAGGCGGUUUGUCGCGUCUGCCGUGAAAGUCCGGGGCUCAACUCCGGAUCUGCGGUGGGUACGGGGCAGACUAGAGUGAUGUAGGGGAGACUGGAAUUCCUGGUGUAGCGGUGAAAUGCGGCAGAUAUCAGGAGGAACACCGAUGGCGAAGGCAGGUCUCGUGGGCAUUAACUGACGCUGAGGAGCGAAAGCAUGGGGAGCGAACAGG
rnacentral:rRNA from 1 species